UGUCAUUCUUUGUCCAUCCUGCACAUUACACAUCCUGUCCAUGCCAGGAUCCUGAGGUACCCUGCCCUAAGGCCUGAGGCUGGGGCUCCCUCAUCCAGAAGCUCUGCACCUGUUUCUACAUGGAGGCUGGUGCUGCUGGCUGCCACAGUGGAGCCAUGUUUGAGAAGUGGAAGGCUCCUACUCCACGGGAAUUCAGGCAAAACAAAACUCAGGAAUGAAGUUAUGUGACAGGAUAGAGCUGUAUGACAGUGCUCACAGAGGGACCGGACCUGGGAUUGAAUAAUGUGGGAAAGCUAGUGGCUAAAUUGAGGUCUGAGUUAUAAUCCUGUAGGAAAUGACUAAACUGAGAACAUGUGUGUGAUUUGUACUUGAUUACUUCAACAAACAACUUCUGAUUUUUA